UCCAAAAAACGUAAAAACGAAAAACAAAAAACCAACCAAAAACAAACUAACAUUCAAUCUCUCUCUCUCUCUUUCUCUCUCCUCCAUUGCCACCGGCGAAAAAACCACCAUCAUAUCAACACCGACCUCUAAACUCCAAAGUUAACCGUUACCCAUUUCAAAUAUUCAAAUUUCCCAAACAAUCAUUUCUCCCUAAAUCAAUAAAAAUAAAUUCAACACCCCUUUUUAGGGGGCGGAAGAAACGAUGCCGUUUCUACGGCGGAGGAAGGCACCACCACUACCACCACCAACACCGCCUCCAGAAGAAGAUUCUAGAAUCACUCAGAAAGAAGAAGAAGAAGAGGAGAAUAAAAAGAGGAGAGAGAAAGAGGUGAAAAUAACAAAGUUGAAGAAAAAAUGGUCAUGCAUUGAUAGUUGUUGUUGGUUUGUUGGGUUUAUAUGUUGUACAUGGUGGUUUUUAUUGUUUCUAUUCAAUGCGAUGCCAGCUUCAUUUCCUCAGUAUGUUACAGAAGCUAUAACUGGGCCUUUGCCGGACCCACCUGGUGUGAAAUUACAUAAAGAAGGAUUGAAGGUUAAACAUCCGGUUGUUUUUGUUCCUGGGAUUGUUACCGGAGGACUUGAGCUGUGGGAAGGUCAUCAAUGUGCGGAGGGCUUGUUUCGUAAAAGACUUUGGGGUGGUACUUUUGGUGAAUUGUAUAAAAGACCCCUUUGCUGGGUUGAGCACAUGUCUUUGGAUAAUGAAACUGGACUCGAUCCGCCUGGUGUGAGGGUCAGACCUGUCUCUGGUCUUGUGGCAGCCGAUUAUUUUGCACCUGGCUAUUUUGUAUGGGCUGUUCUGAUUGCUAAUUUGGCUCGAAUUGGGUAUGAGGAGAAAACAAUGUAUAUGGCUGCAUAUGAUUGGAGGAUCGCAUUCCAGAAUACUGAGGUAAGGGACCAGACUCUUAGCAGGAUGAAAAGUAAUAUAGAACUCUUGGUUGCUACUAAUGGAGGGAACAAGGUUGUUGUCAUUCCACAUUCCAUGGGUGCUCUGUACUUUUUACACUUCAUGAAAUGGGUUGAGGCACCUGCCCCUAUGGGUGGUGGGGGUGGAUCUGAUUGGUGUGCUAAACAUAUCAAAGCUGUAAUGAAUAUUGGUGGACCAUUUCUAGGUGUUCCCAAAGCUGUUUCUGGACUAUUCUCGGCUGAAGCCAAGGACAUUGCUGUUGCCAGGUCUGUUGCGCCUGCUGUUUUGGAUAAGGAUGUGUUUGGUUUCCAAACAUUGAAGCAUGUAAUGAAGAUGACUCGUACGUGGGAUACAACCAUGUCAAUGAUACCGAAAGGUGGCGACGCCAUCUGGGGUAAUCUUGAUUGGUCACCAGAAGAUGGUUAUAACUGUUCUGUGAAGAAGCUGAAAAGUAACGACACUGAUACUGCUGAAAAGCAUGGGAAUGGGUGCUUGGAUCUGUCUGGAAAAGGUGCACAUUAUGGAAGAAUAUUAUCCUUUGGAAAGGGUGUAGCCGAGGCUCCUUCUUCGAAGAUUGAGAGAAUGGACUUCAGGGGUGCAACGAAAGGCCAUAACUUGGCUAAUGCAACCUGCCAUGAUGUGUGGACGGAGUACCAUGAGAUGGGCAUUCCUGGCAUCAAAGCGGUUGCAGAUUAUAAAGUUUACACAGCUGGAUCAAUAUUAGAUCUACUUCAUUAUGUGGCUCCGAAAAUGAUGAAACGUGGUGAUGCUCAUUACUCAUACGGCAUAGCUGAUGAUCUGGAUGAUCCAAAAUACAACCAUUACAAAUAUUGGUCAAAUCCGCUGGAAACUAGAUUGCCAAAUGCCCCAGAUAUGGAGAUCUUUUCUUUAUAUGGAGUUGGAAUUCCCACUGAGAGAGCCUAUAUAUACAAGCUGAGCACCGCUGCAGAUUGCUACAUUCCUUUUCAGAUUGAUACAUUGGCUGAUAGUGCAGAUGAAUGCUCUUGUCUCAAGGGUGGGGUUUACACAGUUGAUGGAGAUGAAACUGUUCCUGUUUUGAGUGCUGGUUACAUGUGUGCUAAAGGUUGGAAAGGUAAAACCCGGUUCAACCCCUCUGGAAUGCAGACAUAUAUCAGGGAGUAUGAUCAUGCUCCUCCUGCUAAUUUUCUGGAAGGUAGAGGGACCCAAAGUGGUGCACACGUUGAUAUAAUGGGGAAUUUUGCAUUAAUUGAGGACAUCAUUCGGGUAGCAGCAGGUGCUACAGGAGAGGAUUUGGGUGGAAAUCGUGUAUGUUCUGACAUUUUUGAGUGGUCUGAGAGGAUUAACUUAAAGCUAUAGCCAACAAGAAUUUCAGGAAUUAAGGUUUUCUUGGAAGAUCCAACGGCAGAAAGAUGAGAGACAUCAGAUUUUGCAUAAAUAUGCGCUGGCAUUUUACCGUGUUUGCUUUCACGAUUUCAGUACUGGUUGGCGAUUCAGAACAUAUAGGACUUGUAGUUUGCUCUUGUAAUUAUACAGCCUUCUGACAUGGGAAUCAGCAUCCCAGAUUAUGGACGCGCCUUGGCUGUGCUUGCGCUCUUCGUGUUAUGUGGUGGCUGGAAUUUUUUACAUUCAAUUCAUUAUUAUGUACAGUAUUCCAUUUGACAAAAAGGGGCUUCUUUUGUUCCCCAGUUAUCCAUAGGUUUUGGGUUACAAUUUUACAAGAUGUACAUUUUAGAAACCUGGAUUUAUUGACGUUUUUGUUGAAGAAAGAAGCGUAGAAUUAUUUGCUUCAUUCCCUAUUUUGGAUGGAAAUGAGGGAAUUCUUAGAUGAUAUCAUUAAGUUGAUGUGGUGAGGAAGAUUUUAGGCAGGAGUGCUUGCUUCACCAAAUGCAUAAAUGUUUAUAUAAUUAUUUUAAUUAAUAAUUUAAGUGAAGGUUGUUUGUA